UGACCUUCGCACGUGUCAUUAAUUUUUUAUGUCUAAUAUUUAUAUAUUAAUUUUAUAUUUUAUAUCACUAUGGAGGAGGGUGAUACUGCGUACACAGAUAUACUGAUGACGCUCCGAACGCAAAAAGUCGUGGACUAUUCUCACCUCGGGGCUAUAUAAGAGCGGUAAAUACCGUACCGAGCCAAGAUGAGCGCCGGAUCCGUAUUAGGUGAGGAACAAGAAGAAGUAAAAUAAACAAUCAACGACGGGUUUGUCAAUUUGUCUAUGUGAAACGCAGUUGUUAACUACGAGUCACAAAUCGCCAAUUUUCAAGAAUUUCGUUUUUCAACACAGACCACGUACAUCGUGCUGUUCGACCAAGGAAAAUUGGCCAAGUCUAAGCGAUUUAAAAUGGAAAAAAAUGCAAAGAUGAUGCCUUUAAUUUCGUUGGUUUUAGUAUGUUUACACAGUGUAACACAGGUAUGCACAAGACCACCAAGAGAAGCCACCAAAAUGCUCAAUAAGAUCAGGAAAGAAGAAAAUUGGGAAGGGAUGUGGUUCGAUGAAUUCCGAGAAAGUUGGGGCUGGAUGCCGAUAACCUAUUUGCGGGAUGCAAAUAACAGAGUUAACACAAUGUUUAGAUUGAAAUUAGUCUCUCCGUUGAUGGGUUGCGCUUACGGUGUGGAUUUGAAUUAUUAUCACUUACUGACGCUUGUUGUGAUUGAAGAAUGUAACAAAAUGCAAAAAAAUCACUACGAUGCACUCGCCGAAGAUUGUAAACAAAAAAUUGAAUAUAGUAUCCUAAACGGUAAGAUUGUUAUAUUCAGACUAAUGCACUCGUUAAAGCGCAUCGACAUUUUAAUCGGUAACGAUGUCGUUAACGAUCGGUUUUACCAAGUUCUGUUCCCGCUCCAAGGGUUUCUUGAAGAAAAUCCAACCAUCAUAGAAUUUAAUAGUAUUUUACCCGGAGGCUUAAAUAUCUACACCUUGUUUAGUACAGUUGCUCUGUCCUUGAGUGAAUUUUUGAUUCAUUCAUGUAAACCACCGUAUACCUUGUUCAAUGUAGAUGCAUUAAGUCGCUACUAUAAUAGUGAAAAUUACCCGAAUGGCAUCUACGAUUUCUAUUUGAAUGUAUUACAAUCUUACAUGAGUUUCAUUGAGAAUCACUUGACCCAACUUGGGUUUUAAUACGAAAAGAACCGGCAAACUUAUUUUUUCCUGAAUGGCAACAACCAGUGAAUUUAUUCCAACAGAAUAUGGUCGUCGAAUAGUAAUGUAUUUUUACCAAUUACAAAUUUGGUAUUCUUUAUAGAAAAAGAUGCUAGUUAAUAACUUUUUAAAGAUAAAUAAUUUAUGCCAUUUUAGUUUGUUAUGAGAUGAUUUAAAAAAAAAACCUUUUUUGAAUAAUUAAUUCACUGUGAUAAAUGUAAUAAAUGUCAAAAUUUCGUUUUACAGUGUUUUUUUCAGCCAAGAAAACCCUAACGUGGAAAUAAUAUAACUCUAUAACAUUAAAAAAAUACCAUGAUUUGUUUUGUAAAUAAAAGAUUACACAAGUUUUA